AUCCCGCUCCACCCCGGUAUCUUCUGUUCCUAAAACAGCGCCCGGCACAUCACAGAUGGUCAGUAAGUGCUGGCUGAGUGCGUGAGUGGGGCGUGUGAACCCGGGCAGAUGAACAGGGGCCGAGAGAGUUAGAAGAGAAAAACAAGCUCUUCCGUGUGUGGAGGGGAGCAGGGAGGGGAGCGGAGGGGCCGUUUCUAUGGAUUUGCAUCUUCUGCUUGGUCUCAACACUGAUGGAAACUCACGAAGUUGAUGAGACAGCUUCCAUUUGUGUGCUGUUUACGAUUCACAAAGCAGUCUCGUGGACGUGGCUUCAUUUGCUCUUCACAACGUUCUGUGAGAUAGAGCAGGUGUAACAGGCAGCUAUUGCUGCUGAGCAAACAUCCCAAAUUUACCAGCUUCAAACAACAAGCGAUCCUCAACUCCGCUGGGCGACGAAGGCCGGGAACAGGGCGGUGAUGGUCAUUUGGGCUCUGCUCCCACAUGCAUGUGUAUGGAAAGCUGUGGGUCGCCAGGCAGCAUGAUUGUGGGGCCCGACUAGCUGUCAGCUGGGACACCUCAGCUCCCCCAAUACACAUUUCUCUCCCAGCGGGCCAGUCCAGGCCUAUGAUUCUCAGAAAAAGACAACAGAGCAGGAGCGAGCGACGUGCAGCACCCCUGGGCCUCAGCCUGGGGCCUGCUCACUGUCACUGCCGCUGCCGCUGGAAGGUAUGGCAGGUCACAGGACCCAAUGCUUGGCAUGGGGAGCUCAGCUCCACCUCUCAAUGGCAGGCCUGAAAAGUCACACUGGAAAGAUGUUCACAUGGGGAGACUGGGGCCAUUCUGGCAAUCGAUCCACCAAUCCUUUUACAGAAGGAGAGGCUCAGAGGAAAUUCAGUGGCUUGCCCAAGUAGUGCUCACAUGGAGACCUGACCGUGGGUUUUCUGCCCCCGAACUCACUGCUGAGUUCUCACAAAGCUCCUCCCGCUUCCUCCCUGCUCCAAGCCCUGAUUGGCAGGUCGUCCAGAGCCUCUCCCUCUGAGCUUACUGCAGCGACCCUGGAUCCGUUCACAUCUUGACUGACCACAGGCCCAGAGAGGGAGAGGGUGUUUCUCGUUGAGCAAACACACCCAGCUUUGACUUAAAUACGGAUGCUGCACGAGCAGUGUGGCUCGUACAUGAUUCUCCGUCCCAGAUGGCGCAGGUGGCUCUGUGUCCUACUCCAGCGACACUGACAGGCAUCCCAGUGCACUCAGGGACUGCGUGGGUGCUCCGGCUCUCGGGGAUGGUGAGAGAAGCCAGGCCAGGUGGAUGUGGAGAUAGCAGGGGACAAACAGGAAAAUCCACGUUCUCUUCAGAGAUCGUGCGAAUAGGAGCAGAAAGAACUCAGCGGCUGACUCACCCACACUGUAACUCCAUAGAAACUUCCGGCGCAGUUACUUAGGCAGCAAAUCAGACUCAAAAGAGCUGAUGCCUGAUGCGGUAGGAAAGAAGAUUCGAGGCUGCCCUCCCCCUUGGCUGGCCAAUUAGGAGGAGAUUAAAAUGCAAUGCAUCAUCUUUACUAAAAAUGGCAAUUAAAAAUGUCAUUAACAAGUGUUUAAGUCAAAUAGUGAAUGAAGAUGAAAGAACAAUUACUCACAAUUUUCCCAAGUUCUUUCUCCCAUAGAAAAUGGCAUUCUUGAUCAAGUUAGGUCAGGAGUUGGUAAGCUGCAGCCUGUGGAGGCAGCCCAGAGCACUGCCUGUAAUUGUCAGUGAAGUGUGAUGGGAAUGCGGCCGCGCUCGCCUAUUUACGAUUUGUCCGUGACUAUUUUCAUGCUAUGACACAGGGUUGAGUAGCUGAAGUGCAGACCACACGGCCUUCAAAGGCUGAAUUAUUUACUGUCUGGCUCUUUACAGAAAAAGUUUGCUGGGCCCUGAUCUUCCCUUCGAACAUGAAGCUCUGCAGAGGGUCCUUGCGUGUGACAAUCAGGAAGUCUGUGUCCUCCAUGAGACACGCAUGACUUGCUAACCUCCAGGUGGUCAGCACCGGGCCCAGUGUUUGCUCGACUGAAUGGCACGGAAUCAACACAAGCUGCUCCCCAGGCUGAAGAGCUUGUACAGGUGACUCCUGUUGGCCCCAUCCUCUAGAGUGUCCACCCAGCUCCACCCAGGCCCGAAGAUCAGCCCCAAACUCCAAACAGAGCAAAGCCGCAGCCCACGCUCCCAUUUGAGCUGGGGCACCUCUGAGUCAGCUCCUGCCUGAACCUCAUGCUGCCCAGAGGGAGACUCCAUCGGCUCGGGCAGGGCCCAGACUAGCUGGAGGACUAAAGGACGGGCCGGUCAACCCUUCAGCAGGCUCAGCUUGCCCCCAGAGGCGCACACAGAAGCGGCCACAGCCUGAGGUCAGGCGUGAACGGUUCCCCCGGUCCAAACAUACAUGUGCUGCUGGAGUUGCUGUCAUCUCUUGAUGGAUGGUUCCAUUGGAAAAGGCCAAGAGUGACAAGGGGUCCCCUCAAGCCUGGUUUGUACCGGGGCUCACGUCAGUCUGGGUGGUCUCCGGCCUGCGCUAUCGCCAGCCCCCCUCCUGGGCUCCAGUGCUCUCGUUCAACAGGAGUCAAUCCUACGACCCUCACAAGCCUCUGGGUCUGCAAGCGGAGAGGAGGACUGAACCACCCGCACAAGGAGGCUGGCGGUUUGGGCCCAGGGCGCUGUAGACUGCCCGAGGGAACUUUCCAGGUGAUGAAAGCAGGGCACGGAGGGCAGGCAAGGCAAGAAUUCUUUUCCUGGAGGUUGAGCAACUCUGCUGCCCCUGCUCUUGCUGGGGGGCUGUCCUCAGCCCCUGUCCCUGCUGUGGCCUCCCUUCCUCCAUCUCUCCUCCCAGCCUUCCUUCCUUCCCCACACUUAGGACCCUGGGCCUUGGCCAGGACCAUGCCAACAAACCCGCGUGUUCACGGGCCUCUCCUCUCCUCUCCUACCCCUGCACACUCUGAUUGUGCUCUCCCAACCCCCCACUUCUUGGAAGCAGACAGCAGCUCCCUGGGGGAUGCUGGUGGGCUCAUCCCGGUCCCAAAGGGUGAGUCAUAAUUCAACCCUCCCAGUGGUUGGAUCAGGCAUGGACAUUCCAGACCAUCCUGACUAAAGAGACAAGAGGGGGCAUCUUCUAGAGGCUUCUGGGGAAGGUUGUCCUUGUUGUUGAGAUGAGACACCAAGAGGAGGACAGGAAAGAGCAGUGCCUCCCCUGUCACCGUCCACUCCCGUUGCUGGGCAUGGUGUCCGGACAGCGCGGGCAGCUUGUGCGGGGCAGGCCUCCUGUAGGCCAAAACGCGGAGGAAGGGGGAGAGAACCCAUGUUCUUGAUGAUGUUACCAGGCGAUGAAUUAAUUGAUUCUGGAAUCCCUCUGACUCCCGAAUUUGAGAUAUGUGAGAAAAUACACUUCCUUUGUCAUUUAAACCAUUUUGAAUUCAUUUGCAUGUUACUUGCAGCUAAAUUAGCUAGGCUCCAACAAGCUUUGGAGGGCCUGCCACCUCAUGAAACACAACUCCAUGAACCUGAGGCCUUUCCCCUCCAAGACACUGCCUCUUGCCCCAUAGAGUCUCCCCGGGGGCAUUUGUACCAGCCCCCAAAGCCAACGUGCUCCCUGACCACAUCCAAAGCAGAAGCUCGAUUUUGAAGCUUUCGUAUUUGCCUCCUCGUCCUUCCGCUUUCUCCUGCCACGUGCGAAGAUAUUGCAAAUUUUAUUUAAAACUGAAUCAUCAAACUUCUGCUUCUAGUAGUGAUGAGUAGUUAGUUCAAUUGAGAUAAAAUUCCUGGGGAGACAAGAUAAAAGCUGAAUACACUAUGAAAACAUCAGCUUAAGAGCGUGGGAGAGCUGGAAAUGGUGUGGAGAAUUCCUCCGGUAUUGGAGUGAAGGUGGAGACCCCCAAGAGGUGUGCUGGCCUCAGGGCUGCUUUUCCUUGUUUUCGGAGCAUUUUCCAGUUUCAGAGGGGCCAGGAGAGGCAGAGCGGCACAUUUAACAGCCUCGAAGAGCGGUAACUGAAGUCAAGGUGGGAACACAACGCAAAGCCAAGGAAAACUGACCGGUGUGAAAGAGCAUUCUUUUCAGUAUGUGAUGCUGGGGCAGCUGGUGAUCCACAAGGAAAUGAAAGAGAAAGCGAGUGUCCUCACACCAUACACACACAUUUAAAGAAGAUAAAAGGAAAAUUUGCACUCGCCCACCAUUCAGCGAAGGCUUCUGGGUCUAGGCCGGUCCCCCUCUGCUCUCCAGCACCGCCACACAGUGUUCACCCCAGACUCAGUGUCCCUCGGACUGCCAUGUGCUUUGUUCUGCACACUGUGGAUCUGGUAACUGGUCAUGUCUCCUCCUUUGGUUUCGGUGCAGGAAGGUUACCAUACCUGGGACCACUCGGGGCGCAGUUGCACGUCUUCCUGUGAGCUGAUCUUACUUAGGGUGUUAUUAUGUUUUCUACUCCUCAUUUUUCUACGAAACUUCCUCAGUGAUUCAUUUGAUCCUUUCUUAUUGUAUGUAUUUUGAUAAGCAAUUUUAUCUUUUUUCAUUUUGUAACUUUUUUUUUUUGAGGAAGUUUAGCCCUGAGCUAACAUCUGCUGCCAGUCCUCCACUUUUUGCUGAGGAAGACUGGCCCUGAGCUAAUAUCCGUGUCCAGCUUACUCUACUUUAUAUGUGGGACGCCUGCCACAGCAUGGCGUGCCAAGCGGUACCAUAUCUGCACCCAGGAUCUGAACCGGUGAACCUAGGGUCGCUGAAGCAGAACUUGUGAACUUAACCGCUGCGCCACCAGGCCGGGCCCAAUAUAAUAGUUUUUAUAAGUGGUAUUGUCCCAAUUCUCUAUUGCUGAGCCACCAACAACAGUAAACUUUAAUGCAUUGAAACAAUUCUGAUGCUUCUUCCUCAGCACGCAGCCGCCUGGCUGGGUAACGGAUAUGCUGGACUGGAACAUCCACAGUGGUUUCUCCACUGGGCUGGGCGUUCUUUCUCUCCACGCGGCUUCCCCAGCAGGGUAGCUCCAUCUCUUCACAGGAGACUCAGGGCUCCUAGGGACGGUGUUCCAAGAAGACGAGCCUAGCAUGAGCUGUUGUCAAGCCUCCUUGUCCUGCUCACUAACAUCCAUUGGUCAAAGCAUGCACAGGGUCAAGGUCAUUGGGAGGGGACAACACAAGGUGUGAGUACCAGGGCUCAUCCGAGGCCACCAAAAUAAAUACAUGUAUGUUGUAAUCAUAAAUAAUAAUAAAUAUGGAUAUACAGGAAUAAUCAAAUACCUGUAUUCAGGAACACAUGCUGCAAUAGAAAGACUUAAAAUAUUUGUAUGUUUCUGUGCACUUUUUCCUUCUCCGAUGAUUUGACCAAGACCUCACUAGAGACAAAAGCUUCCAGUUACUCGACGCACUCUCCAUUCACAGCAUCACUGGUUGGGAAGUUUUCCAAGAGU
ensembl:lncRNA